UAAACACACAACCCGACCAUUUUCAUUCCCUAUUCUUCAUAUUCUCACAAGGCGAUUAGGGUUUCUACAGUUUCAAUCUUACAUCUCCCUGUCAUUGCAUCCCUAAAGAUCGUAUGUCUUCAUCACGGCUGCAUCGGAUUCAAAUAACGAUGAAGGAAAGAGCAACACGAGUUCUGAGUUAGGUGAACCGAUUAAUCUCAAGGCUUCAUCGGAUUCAAAUAACGAUGAAAGAAAGAGCGACACGAGUUCUGAGUUAGGUGAACCGAUUAAUCUCAAGGCUGCAUCGGAUUCAGAUAACGAUAACGACGAAGGAAAGAGCAACACGAGUUCUGAGUUAGGUGAACCGAUUAAUCUCAAGGUAAUGGGGAUUUCCGUGUCAUCAGUAUGCAUUUCUGUUCACAUCGGUCAAGCCGGAAUCCAAGUCGGCAACUCACGCUGGAAGCUCUAUUGUCUCGAACAUUAUGCAGUGAUUUUGACCAACGUAAGCAUGGUGGAUUCAACACUUUGAUACCUUUAAGAAGGGGCAAAGAAGGCCGCCAAGCAACAAAGAAGGGGCAAGAAUAUGCUGGAGAUAUGUGGCAACAUUGUUUACCGUUUUGCCCCUGUUAAGGAGGGUCCCUUUAAAGAGAAGCAUCUUCAGUUCGGUCUCGGGUAUAUAAUUCAAAGGAUCUUCCGCAAUGAUCAUAAGCAUUUGUGUGUAGCCCUUUGUCAGUUUCACUCCUUCAUAAAGCUCCUGAUAUGGGUGCCAACAUCAGGUUCGCGCAAAAAAAUGGGAGGUUUUGAUGCUUAAAAACUUUAGCAUUCCAAUUCUCAUCGAGGAGAUGAUUCAGGAAAGUAACAAGGUACUGAAGGAGCUAUAAAGAGAAAUGUAUUUUGACAGGGGGAACUUCUAUGACUUUACCUCGCUUGAUAGGUCUUCAUACAAAAAAAAAUAAUGGUUUUGUGUUGUCUUUAACAUCCAAUAUUGAUUUGUAUUGUUUUUUUGGAUUUGAAGUCAUUCUCAUCUACGGUUUGUUCAUCUUCGACCGAUUCUCUUUUCGUAUUCUACUAAUCAAAUGUCGUCAUCUACAAGGUAUGAAUCCCUUCUUUAUGUAUUGUUAUGAUUUAGUGUUGAUAUUAGAUAUAAUUUUUUUGGAUUAUGUGGAUUCUUGACUGAACCAAAUGUGAAGAAGAAGAAGAAGAUUGUAAAUGAGCUUUGAGGUCAUAUCAAAAAUCAAACAAUGAAAUUAUUGUUAAAUGUCUGAUUUAGUUACAAUGUUUCUGCUAUAAUUUUUGUAGUGGUGUUCAACAGUGGGAUGCCAAAAGUGUGAAAUCAGAUUAUUGAUGGUGAAGAACCAAUUUGAUUUGAAGACCUUGGACUUGGACAGAUCUCUAAAGUUUUGCAAUGCAUUUGAGGAGAAGACCUACAUUAAAAGGGAUUUAUAGCAAAUCAGUUGUUGGAGGGUAGCAAACCAGUUGAUAUCUCUAAGAACCCGUCUUGAGUUGUUCUUACACUUAAAGGAUGAAUGUGAUAGUGGAGUUGAAGAAGACAUGGAAGCCCUAAAAACGGCCUUUUCUGUGACGGGCAAAUCCCCAGCCGCCAUUUAAAGGCGCUUCUCUCACUAGAACGGAAGAUCAUACAGAGUGUAGUUGCGUGAACCAACUCCUUACAACAAAUAUGUCAUAUGAGGAGUGCUUAUAUCAGCUUGCAUCGGUUGGAUCUUAGUUGUGAAUUAUGAGUUCCGUUGUGAAAUCAGAGGAGGAAUGGAGUGCAGUUCUUUCUCCUGAACAAUUUCGCAUCCUUCGAAACAAAGGAACUGAUACAUGGUUUGUAUUUGUGGGAUGAGGCGUAUGAGUCUAAGUGAGCUAAAGUUGCUCUUAUGAGAAGAUGGGCCAGAAGCGUACAACUGUGUGCUGAAUGGAAUUGGUCUGAAGCCUUGAAUCCUGGAAGGCGUAUAUAAAGAGUCAUCGUCUGAAUAUAAGAGUUUUUGAUAUAAGCGUUCUUGAAUAAAACGAGUAAUGACAAUGUGAUAUCAAAUGAGAGAAUGUGUUUGUUGCUUUUUGGAAUUGGCUUUAUCUUGCUAACUUUGCAUCCUUUGAACCAACAUAGCAACAUACAUCCCUCAUGAUCCAUCUGAUUUUUUUUUUUUGGCUUUGAUACCAAAGGAAUGAGAUGCAAUUAUCUUGCACAUGAGGUAAAUUUGUAUUUCUUAAAUGUUGUGAAGUAUAUGGGAAAACCAUCGGUAGCUUUCUUCCCCAAGAUACAGGAUCCUGCUUACUAUAUUCUCAAAGAAGACACAUCCCCUUGCAUUUUUUGCUCAAUCGAGAAACAACGAUGGUCUUAUGCAUGUGCAAAACAGUUAAUUGAGAGGUUCAUCUAUGCCGAGGGUGCUGAGAAUGGUUUUGAGAAUGCUUUUAUCGGUUUAUAUAUGCAUUUAUGGGAUUGGGCGUUGUUCUGUGUUGCAUCUCUUGCAUUGGUCAUAUUGCAGCUGAAGCUAUCCAUGGAUGUUGCCUUUGUUUUUACACCAUACUGAAAAUAGUUUUGAUCCAGCUUGAGGUGGCUUUGGUCGGGUUCAUUGUACUUGAUCAUCGUUGGGAAAAGGAUCUACCAGAGGACCCAACUGAAAGCAUUGAUAGAAUUCGGGAAUUCAUUGAAGACAAUGUUGAGAUUUGUAAAUGGGUCGGCAUUACUACUUUGUUACCAUGUUUUUCUUAGUGCCUUUAUGAUACAACUGUGCUUUCUUAAUGCAUUUGGUUCAUCAUUGCAAGUUAUACUUUCAAGGCUAACAAUAUAAUUCAGUCUGAAAGUUAAAAGGAAAACAGAUCAAAAGUGUUAUAGCCAACAUAUUAAUAUGCCAAUUUGUUUGUAGGAUUU